GCAGAGCAGCCCUGGAGGCCCAGUGAGGACGGGGCGGGGCUAGACGUGGGCUCGACAACCAUUAGAGCGCUACGGGCCGUGCGGCUCCAGGACUACAUUUCCCAGGAGGCCCCGCGAACGCAACCGGAAGAGGCGCCUUGGGUCCAGUACGCAGGCGCACCAGUGGCCUUGGCAUAUAUAAGCGAGGU
rnacentral:lncRNA from 1 species